ACUGAGCUGGCCGAGUGGUUAAGGCAUUGGAUUUAAGAUCCAAUAGACCAAUGGGAGCUGUAGAUUAUCCUCCAUGGUCAGUC
rnacentral:tRNA from 1 species